AGCUUUGCACAGUGGCAGUAUCGUAGCCAAUGAGGUCUAUCUGAGGCACGAUUAUUGUUAAUUAAAACAAA
rnacentral:snRNA from 1 species